ACCCUGAGAUUAAGGGGCACACACUCCACUGCUGAGCUGGCCAGGUGCCCCUCAACUUAAGAAUUUUUUUAAUAUAAGAACAUAGAAAGGAGAUAACCACAGAAAGUGAUAACAAAAAAUUAACAAAUUAAAAAACUAGUUUUAUUAUAAGGAUGACUAAAAACCCCUGGCAAUAUUGACUAAGAGAUGGAAAUAUAGAAAUAUAGUGAAUACUAAGCUACAGAAAGGUAAACAUGUAGAUAAAUAUAUAUCAAUACUGAUGAUAUGAAAAUAAUGUCUUAUGAAUAUUGAAAUACUUGUCAGUAAUACAUAAAAUGGAGAGAGCGGAUGUUAAAUGUUCUAAGGCUCUAGAAUUAUGAGGAAAGUGGUGAAGUACUAUAUUUUUUUAGACAGUAAUAAAGGAUAUAUGAUGUGAUCUCUGAGAUAACGACCAAAAAAAUAUUAAAGGAGGGGAGCCUGGGUGGCUCAGUUGGUUAAGCUUCUGGCUUCCCUUGAGGUCAUGAUCUCAGAGUCCUGGGAUUGAGCCCCAUGAAAGGUUCCCAGCUCAAUCAGGAGUCUGCUUCUCCAUCUCCCUCUGCUCCCCACUCCCACCAGCUCAUGUUGUCUUUCUCUCAAAUAAAUAAAUAUUUUUAAAAAUUGUAAAGAAACGUGUAACUGACAAGUUAAUAGAGGGAAAACAAUGAACUUGUAAAAGAUUAAGGCAAAUGAAGGCAACAAGAGAAAAUUUUAAAAAGUAGAUCAAGUAAAUAGCGAGUAGCUAAAAAGCCAAAUAUAUAAAUACUACAUUAAAUAUAAAUGGAUUAAAUGCCCCCAAUGAAAGUCCAGGCUGACAUUUAUACACACAGACACAGAGACAUACACCUUAAAGACGACAGGAAAGGUGAACAGAAAAUGUACUCUUUACAAUGACUUGUCCUUAGCAAUUGGAUAGAGCAGAGAAGGGAAUGAGAAGACCAUCUACAUCACAGUAUUGGAGACAGAGACAACUCACUCUGGGAAACCCAUUCUGAGCCUAAGAAGAAGAGUGGGUUUGUGGGAAGAGGAAUGGGAUAGGAGGGGCAAUGGGUUAGGAAUAGCAGGAACAGAGUCACCUAUUCUCUUUCAGUUUAUAAUCCCUUUCAAUCAGUUUCCGCUCAUUUGUUGAGUAUAAUCUGAUCCUUGCUUAACAUAACUUAUUCAUGAAAACGUGUUACAGGUAUUUUUAUUAUUAUUUUACAGAUUUAAAAAACCACAUCCAAAAGGAACGAAGUCAUUUAUUCAAUUUCUAAUCAUUAGGGGAGUGGGUUCAAAAGCAGGACUGUGACUCCAAAGCCGGUAAUUUUUUUACACGAGCAGUGGAGAAGGAAUGCAUGAUGUCAAAAGAAAGAAGAAAGAACAACUGGUAGAGGCAGAAAACUACCUACCAAAGAAAAGUGGGGAAGAACAGUUGAAGAGGAGACUCAGAAGACAGAAGUGUUGAAAAAAAAAAUCCAAAAGAGAAGAAAAUUUGAAACGGAGGACACAUUCUGUGUUGUCAAAUGCCAUAGAGGAGGCAAGCCAGUGCCAUGUUCAUCAUCUGAGAAUGGGGGAUGGAUAAGCAGAGAAAUGGACUCAGAGGAGUCUUAUGGAGAAGACUGUUACAUGGACAGAGGAAGUACUUGCAUGUAAGUGCUAAUUGUAGGAAGUUUUGUU